rnacentral:rRNA from 1 species
UACAGAGGUCCCAAGCGUUGUUCGGAUUCAUUGGGCGUAAAGGGUGCGUAGGCGGCGCGGUAAGUCGGGUGUGAAAUUUCGAGGCUUAACUUCGAAACUGCAUUCGAUACUGCCGUGCUAGAGGACUGGAGAGGAGACUGGAAUUUACGGUGUAGCGGUGAAAUGCGUAGAUAGUCGAUAGGAAGACCAGUGGCGAAGGCGGCUCACUGGUCCGGUACUGACGCUGAGGUGCGAAAGCGUGGGGAGCAAACAGG